GAUGAACGCUGGCGGCGUGCCUAAUACAUGCAAGUCGAGCGAACGGACGAGAAUCUUGCUUUUCUGAUGUUAGCGGCGGACGGGUGAGUCACACGUGGAUAACCUACCUAUAAGACUGGGAUAACUUCGGGAAACCGGAUCUCACACAGGAUAAUAUUUUGAACCGCAUGGUUCAACAGUGAAAGACGGUCUUGCUGUCACUUAUAGAUGGAUCCGAGCUGCAUUAGCUAGUUGGUAAGGUAACGGCUUACCAAGGCAACCAUGCUUAGCCGACCUGGGAGGGUGAUCGGCCAAACGUGAAAUUGAACACGGUCCAGACUCCUACGGGAGGGAGCAGUAGGGAAUCUUCCGCAAUGGGCGAAAGCCUGACGGAGCAACGGCGCGUGAUUGAUGAAGGUCUUCGGAUCUGAAAACUCUGUUAUGAGGGAAGAACAUAUGUGUAAGUAACUGUGCACAUCGAGACGGUACCUAAUCAGAAAGGCACGGCUAACUACGUG
rnacentral:rRNA from 1 species